GGGAGGCAGCAGUGGGGAAUAUUGCACAAUGGGCGCAAGCCUGAUGCAGCAACGCCGCGUGAGGGAUGACGGCCUUCGGGUUGUAAACCUCUUUUAGCAGGGAAGAAGCGAAAGUGACGGUACCUGCAGAAAAAGCGCCGGCUAACUACGUGCCAGCAGCCGCGGUAAUACGUAGGGCGCAAGCGUUAUCCGGAAUUAUUGGGCGUAAAGAGCUCGUAGGCGGUUUGUCGCGUCUGCUGUGAAAUCCGGAGGCUCAACCUCCGGCCUGCAGUGGGUACGGGCAGACUAGAGUGCGGUAGGGGAGAUUGGAAUUCCUGGUGUAGCGGUGGAAUGCGCAGAUAUCAGGAGGAACACCGAUGGCGAAGGCAGAUCUCUGGGCCGUAACUGACGCUGAGGAGCGAAAGGGUGGGGAGCAAACAGGCUUAGAUACCCUGGUAGUCCACCCCGUAAACGUUGGGAACUAGUUGUGGGGUCCAUUCCACGGAUUCCGUGACGCAGCUAACGCAUUAAGUUCCCCGCCUG
rnacentral:rRNA from 1 species